rnacentral:tRNA from 1 species
AACUUGGUGGCUCAGUGGUAAAGCAUCUGCCUGCAAUGCAGGAAAUGCAGGAGAUGCAGGUUCGAUCCUUGAGUUG